GUUGUUGCGGUUAAAAGCUCCUAGUUGGAUUUCUGUCCAAAACGGCCGGUCCGCACUAUGUGCGUGUAUCUGGUUCGGUUUUGGCAUCCUCAUGAAGAACGUAACUGCGCUUGAUUGCGUGGUGCGGUAUUCAUGACUUUUACUUUGAGGAAAUUAGAGUGUUCACGGCAGGCAAGCGCCUUGAAUAUAUUAGCAUGGAAUAAUAAUAUAGGACAUGGGUUCUAUUUUGUUUAUGUAAUGAUUAAUAGGGAUAAUUGGGGGCAUUCGUAUUAACGCGUCAGAGGUGGAAUUCUUGGAUUGCGUUACUACGAACUACUGCGAAAGCAUUUGCCAAGGAUGUUUUCAUUGAUCAAGAACGAAAGUAUGGGGAUCGAAGAUGAUUAGAUACCGUCGUAGUCUAUACCAUAAACUAUGCCGACUAGAGAUUGGAGGUCGUUCUUUUUAUGACUCCUUCAGCACCUUAUGAGAAAUCAAAGUCUUUGGGUUCCGGGGGGAGUAUGGU
rnacentral:rRNA from 1 species